rnacentral:rRNA from 1 species
GAUAAACGCUGGCGGCGUGCCUAACACAUGCAAGUCGAACGCUCUGCGCAAGCAGGGAGUGGCGGACGGGUGAGUAACACGUGGGUCAUCUACCAUCAGGUGAGGAAUACCGGCGAGAAAUCGCCGACAAUACCGCAUACGCUCGUAAGAGCAAAGCUCGCAAGGGCGCCUGAGGAUGAGCCUGCGCUCGAUUAGUUCGUUGGUGAGGUAAUGGCUUACCAAGACGACGAUCGAUAGCUGGUCUGAGAGGACGAUCAGCCACACUGGGAUUGAGAACGGCCCAGACUCCUACGGGGGGCAGCAGUGAGGAAUUUUCGUCAAUGGGGGCAACCCUGAACGAGCAACGCCGCGUGCAGGAUGACGGUUUUCGGAUCGUAAACUGCUUUUCUCUGGGACGAGAACGGACGGUACCAGAGGAAUCAGCCCCGGCUAACUACGUGCCAACAGCAGCCGCAG